rnacentral:rRNA from 1 species
CGCGGUAAUACGGAGGGUGCGAGCGUUAAUCGGAAUUACUGGGCGUAAAGCGCAUGCAGGCGGCCUGUUAAGUCAGAUGUGAAAGCCCGGGGCUUAACCUCGGAAUUGCAUUUGAAACUGGCAGGCUAGAGUCUUGUAGAGGGGGGUAGAAUUUCAGGUGUAGCGGUGAAAUGCGUAGAGAUCUGAAGGAAUACCAGUGGCGAAGGCGGCCCCCUGGACAAAGACUGACGCUCAGAUGCGAAAGCGUGGGAGCAACAGGAUUAGAUACCCUGGUAGUCCACGCCGUAAACGAUGUCUACUUGGAGGUUGUGGCCUUGAGCCGUGGCUUUCGGAGCUAACGCGUUAAGUAGACCGCCUGGGGAGUACGGUCGCAAGAUUAAAACUCAAAUGAAUUGACGGGGGCCCGCACAAGCGGUGGAGCAUGUGGUUUAAUUCGAUGCAACGCGAAGAACCUUACCUACUCUUGACAUCCAGAGAAGCUUGAAGAGAUUCGAGUGUGCCUUCGGGAACUCUGAGACAGGUGCUGCAUGGCUGUCGUCAGCUCGUGUUGUGAAAUGUUGGGUUAAGUCCCGCAACGAGCGCAACCCUUAUCCUUGUUUGCCAGCACUUCGGGUGGGAACUCCAGGGAGACUGCCGGUGAUAAACCGGAGGAAGGUGGGGACGACGUCAAGUCAUCAUGGCCCUUACGAGUAGGGCUACACACGUGCUACAAUGGCAUAUACAGAGGGCAGCAAGACCGCGAGGUGGAGCGAAUCCCAGAAAGUAUGUCGUAGUCCGGAUCGGAGUCUGCAACUCGACUCCGUGAAGUCGGAAUCGCUAGUAAUCGUGGAUCAGAAUGCCACGGUGAAUACGUUCCCGGGCCUUGUACACACCGCCCGUCACACCAUGGGAGUGGGCUGCACCAGAAGUAGAUAGCUUAACCUUCGGAGGGCGUUUACCACGGUGUGGUUCAUGACUGGGGUAAGUGUAACAAGGUAGCCUAGGGGAACCUGGGGCUGGAUCACCU